rnacentral:tRNA from 1 species
UCCCAUGUGGGUGUAGUGGCUAACAUUGCUGUCUUUCAUGUAAGAGCACAGCAGCCCGGGGGUUCGAUUCCCCGCAUUGGAA